rnacentral:misc_RNA from 1 species
AAGUCAUAACAAGGUUACUGUAGGUGAACCUGCAGUAGGAUCAUUAUUGAAAAAUAGGGCUUUCCCAUUCUUUGGGGCCCGAACCUUCACAUAAUUUCCACACACUUGUGAAUCGUUGGAGCGUUUUUUGAAAAAGAGACGCUCUGGCACCCUUUAAUUAUUACACACACUGAGUUAAUGGAUGUAGUUGUAAACUUGUCUUUUGACAGAAACAAAAAUACAACUUUCGACAACGGAUCUCUUGGUUCUCC